CUGGAUCUCGCCAGGCGUCCACGCUGCCCUCCAAUAGUUUAGUCAUUGUUCGGGUUGGUCCAUUGUGACUGUGCGCGCCAGGGUCUCACGCCCCGGGAACUGCGGUGGUCCCUGAGGCCACCACCGCCCCAGCCUUUCCUACUACAAGAGUUGGGAGCUCAGCUCUUCAUAAACUACGACAUCCCCAAGGACAGUUCUGAGGCUUGCCUUUCAGAUGAAGAAACUGAGGCAAGGUGGGGGUAACCAAACUGGUCGUCCUCCCGGAUGCGGGGCGGGUCCUCGCACCGAGUGGUUAACCUGGGUGCACACAGCGCCUGACAGUUGCGCAACGCCUCCCUGGACCAUCAAGCAUUUCUAUAGUCCCAGCCUACAUCUCCGACACCUCCGCCCCUACCUGCCCUUCCACAGCUCAAAUUUCAGUUCCCUCUAACUUACCUUUGCCCUACCUCCACCUUCCCUGGACACUCCACUGCAAAUCGUCGGGACAAGACCCAGGAAAGUAAAGCUGCAACCUAGUCCAACCCCCCUCACAAGAACUUAACUCGCCACAAGAUGCCUUUGUGCUUGGUUUAAAAAAAAA